AACGAACGCUGGCGGCAGGCCUAACACAUGCAAGUCGAGCGAGCAUUUCGGUGCUAGCGGCGGACGGGUGAGUAACGCGUGGGAACGUGCCCUUUUCUGCGGAAUAGUCCUGGGAAACUGGGGGUAAUACCGCAUACGCCCUUUUGGGGAAAGAUUUAUCGGAGAAGGAUCGGCCCGCGUUGGAUUGGGUAGUUGGUGGGGUAAUGGCCCACCAAGCCGACGAUCCAUAGCUGGUGUGAGAGGAUGAUCAGCCACACUGGAACUGAGACACGGCCCAGACUCCUACGGGAGGGAGCAGUAGGGAAUCUUAGACAAUGGGGGCAACCCUGAUCUAGCCAUGCCGCGUGAGUGAGGAAGGCCUUAGGGUUGUAAAGCUCUUUCAGCUGGGAAGAUAAUGACGGUACCAGCAGAAGAAGCCCCGGCUAACUCCGUG
rnacentral:rRNA from 1 species